ensembl:snRNA U6 U6 spliceosomal RNA
GUGCUGGCCUCAGCCGCAUCGAUAUGCAAAUUGAAAGGGGACGGAGAAGAUUAGCAUGACCUCUGAGCAAGGAAGACACACAAAUUCAUGAAACAUUGCAUAUUUUU